UGGGGAAUUUUGCGCAAUGGGCUAACGCCUGACGCAGCAACGCCGCGUGGAGGAUGAAGGUCUUUGGAUUGUAAAGCUCUUUUGCCAGGGAAGAUGAUGACUGUACCUGGAGAAUAAGCCCCGGCUAACUUCGUGCCAGCAGCCGCGGUAAUACGAAGGGGGCUAGCGUUGUUCGGAAUUACUGGGCGUAAAGGGCGCGUAGGCGGCCGUUUAAGUUAGGUGUGAAAGUCCUGGGCUCAACCUGGGGACUGCACUUAAUACUGGAUGGCUUGAAUUCGGGAGAGGAUAGCGGAAUUCCCAGUGUAGAGGUGAAAUUCGUAGAUAUUGGGAAGAACACCGGUGGCGAAGGCGGCUAUCUGGAUCGACAUUGACGCUGAGGCGCGAAAGCGUGGGGGAGCAAACAGGAUUAGAUACCCUGGUAGUCCACGCCGUAAACGAUGAAUGCUAGACGUUGGGGAGC
rnacentral:rRNA from 1 species